GUAUUGUUCGUUGUAAACGAUUAGACAUGCAUAUAUACUGGAUUAGAGUGGAAAGAGGAACGAGACCUCGGCCCUGCGCAAGCACAGAGCGGCUCCUCAUGGGAGAUCUCGACCUAUAGUGCACAAGUGUAUGUGGAAUGAAAGGCGAGCGGCGUGCACAUGCCUUUUGUAAGGCCAGCAACAACCGACUCUAAUGCUUUCUGUAAUGAUCCUUCCGCAGGUUCACCUACGGAAA
rnacentral:misc_RNA from 1 species